UGAGCAAGGAGGAAGUGCCUUACUAUAGCUAGCAAUGCACCUCGCACACCCCCGGGCAGCUUGUUGGAGUAGCCCAAAGCCUUAGGACGCGGCAGAAGGGAAGUUUAAUGUCAUUUCUUUAAGGGUUGAUUUUUUUUAUUUAUUUUUUAUAGGACAUUGAAUGAGGGAAAGGGGAGGAAGCCCAUCUCUAGCGAUCUCUCCUCCCACGCCCUCUCUCCCUCCUCCACCUCAGGGGUGUGCGUAAAAAAAAAAACCCCUCUUGCAAGACGGAGGUGGGGGGUCGUGCAGUUCCUCUUGCUGUUUGCCAAUAUGGCUUGAGGACUUUCAAUAGGUAGAUCGCUUUCAGGAGUCAAUGAGGGGGGGGGGAUGGAGACCUGCUUGGCGAAGGGGGUGUGGUGCGGUUCAAGGCUGUUUGUAGUGCGAUCCAUACAGCGCAUUGCUCCCUGCCAUACAAUGGUGUCUGAAAUCCUGCGCGCGAUUGGUCGCUCUCCGAUGAAUGACAAGGAGGGGGGUAUAUGCCAGUAGGGUCAGGGCCCCCCGCCUGUUCAUCCCGUGUGGUUUUUGUUCAUUGUCGCUGCUUCCCAGCUCUGGGUACCGAUCUCUCCUCCAUAAGCAGCGGGCAAGAUGCAAAUACACUGACAAAUAAACGCACAUACUUUUAGCGCCCACGUUAGCGAGGGUCUGGGAAUGCGGGGGAGACCCGUCGCGCCUUCUUCUUUAUGUGUGAUGUACAGACAGCCAUUCAUAAUUUUACUGAGAACUACAAUGGUGGGUACGUGGGGGGAGGGGGUGGGAUGGGAAGAGGCAGCCUCUAUUAAAAACAAAAUGUACAGGGGUGCUGCUGGGCUACGAGCCAUUCUCACAUUAAAAGAUGUAUUUCCAUCAUAGACAUUGAGGAGGUGCCUUCCUGUGUGUGCUUUCAUUUCACUUGUUGCAGAUUUAGUUUCACUAUGAAAUCUUGAAUAAUUUCUUGAUUUGGAGGAAUUUCUACCACUACAAUACAUUGGUUCCAAAGAAGUAUGAUGACCUGAAGGAUCUGAUUGCACCUCAAGGAAGUAGUACAUCUAAUACUUGCUGUGAUACAAUUUUAGAAGCAAUCUCAUAUUUAUUCCCUGCAGUAUAAAAAAAGGAGACUAUGACAAUCUUCAGGUUCAGUACAAUGAAAUUGUUUUUGUAAAGAAAUUUAACCAAAAAUUAAAUUUUAUUAUAUUUUAUUAUUAGUAUGUACUGUUCAUUUACGGAAAUCUUAAAUGAUCAAGCCACGUACAUGUCUGAACAGCUUUUCCCUCUGCACUUCACUUUUUAACACCAAUAAAUAAUGGUAAAACUCA